AUGACUUGUGGAUAGCGGAGAAAUUCCAAUCGAACUCGGAGAUAGCUGGUUCUCCUCGAAAUAGUUUUAGGACUAGCCUUGAGAGAAUAAUAUGCGGGGGUAGAGCACUGAAUGAGCUAGGGGUCAAACCUGAUUACCGAACUCUAUCAAACUCCGAAUACCGUAUAGAGGAAACUCAGGAGUCAGACUGCGGGAGCUAAGUUCCGUGGUCAAAAGGGAAAGAGCCCAGAUCGUCAAUUAAGGUCCCAAAGAUAUAGUUAAGUGGAAAACGAUGUGAUUUUGCGUAAACAACCAGGAUGUUGGCUUAGAAGCAGCCAUUCAUUUAAAGAGUGCGUAAUAGCUCACUGGUCGAGUGAAGUUGCGCGGAAAAUUACCGGGGCUAAACUAUACACCGAAAUUGCGGAUUUAUAUGAAGAAUAUAAGUGGUAGAGGAGCAUUCUAUAGUAGGAAGAAGGUAGAUCGAAAGGACUGCUGGACGAGAUAGAAGAGAGAAUGCCGGAAUAAGUAGCGAAAGCAUGGUGAGAAUCCAUGCCAUCGAAAGUCUAAGGUUUCCUGGGGAAGGUUCGUCCGCCCAGGGUAAGUCGGGACCUAAGGAGAGGCCGAAAGGCGUAUCUGAUGGACAGCAGGUAGAAAUUCCUGCACCACCGAUAUACUUAAAAAAUGCAAGGGACACAGGAGUGGAAGGAAAGCGAGGAAGAGGAAAAACUCGUAUCGAAAGAUAUAGUGAAAUAUAUAAGUAACGAAUUUCCAAGAAGCACACUGGCGAGAAAAGCUUGUAGAUAUUGUAUAUAGGUGCCCGUACCGCAAACCGACACAGGUAGAUGAGGAGAGGAUCCUAAGAUGAGCGAGAGAAGCAUUGUUAAGGAACUCGGCAAACUGACCCCGUAACUUCGGAAUAAGGGGUGCUAAGGUAAAACUUAGUCGCAGAGAAUAGUCCCAAGCAACUGUUUAACAAAAACACAGGUUUCUGCUAAAUCGAAAGAUGAAGUAUAGGAGCUGACGCCUGCCCAGUGCUGGAAGGUUAAGGGGAAAUGUUAGAGUAAUCGAAGCAUAGAACCAAAGCCCCAGUGAACGGCGGCCGUAACUAUAACGGUCCUAAGGUAGCGAAAUUCCUUGUCAGGUAAGUUCUGACCCGCACGAAAGGCGUAAUGAUUUGGGCACUGUCUCAACAAUGAUCUCGGCGAAAUUGUAGUACUAGUGAAGAUGCUAGUUACCUGUGAUAAGACAGAAAGACCCCAUGGAGCUUUACUGUAGCUUGAUAUUGAAACUAGGUAGAGAAUGUACAGGAUAGGUGGGAGACUAUGAGACAAGGACGCUAGUUCUUGUGGAGUCAACGUUGGGAUACCACUCUUUUUCUACUUGGAAUCUAACAUGUUGCCGUUAUCCGGUAAGUGGACAGUGUCAGGUGGGCAGUUUGACUGGGGCGGUCGCCUCCUAAACGGUAACGGAGGCGUUCAAAGGUUAGCUGAGCACGGUCAGAAAUCGUGUAUACAAGUGCAAAGGCAGAAGCUAGCCUGACUGCGAGACUGACAGGUCGAGCAGAUGCGAAAGCAGGACUUAGUGACCCGAUGGUAGUGAGUGGAAAUGCCAGAGCUCAACGGAUAAAAGUUACCCUGGGGAUAACAGGCUUAUCUCCCCCAAGAGUCCAUAUCGACGGGGAGGUUUGGCACCUCGAUGUCGGCUCAUCGCAUCCUGGAGCGGUAGUACGUUCCAAGGGUUGGGCUGUUCGCCCAUUAAAGCGGCACGCGAGCUGGGUUCAGAACGUCGUGAGACAGUUCGGUCCAUAUCCGGUAUACGCGCAAGAGAUUUGAACGGAGUCUUCCUUAGUACGAGAGGACCGGGAAGAGGGAACCUCCAGUGUACGGGUUAUCGCGCCAGCGGUAAACGCCCGGUAGCUGUGUUCCAAGCGGAUAAGUGCUGAAAGCAUAUAAGUACGAAGCCCACCGAAAGAUGAGUUCUCUCACUGGGUAACCAGGUAAGUCCCCACGCAGAUCACGUGGUUGAUAGGUCAUAGUUGUAAGUGUGGCAACAUAUUAAGACGAGUGAUACUAAUAGGACGAGGGCUUUUCCU
rnacentral:rRNA from 1 species